UAUGGCUGUUCGCCAUUUAAAGUGGUACGCGAGCUGGGUUUAGAACGUCGUGAGACAGUUCGGUCCCUAUCUGCCGUGGGCGCUGGAGAAUUGAGGGGGCUGCUCCUAGUACGAGAGGACCGGAGUGGACGCAUCACUGGUGUUCGGGUUGUCAUGCCAAUGGCACUGCCCGGUAGCUAAAUGCGGAAGAGAUAAGUGCUGAAAGCAUCUAAGCACGAAACUUGCCCCGAGAUGAGUUCUCCCUGAGACUAUAAGUCUCCUGAAGGAACGUUGAAGACGACGACGUUGAUAGGCCGGGUGUGUAAGCGCAGCGAUGCGUUGAGCUAACCGGUACUAAUGAACCGUGAGGCUUAACCUUAC
rnacentral:rRNA from 1 species